GCGUGGAGACAGGUGGUGCAUGGCUGUCGUCAGCUCGUGUCGUGAGAUGUUGGGUUAAGUCCCGCAACGAGCGCAACCCUCACCUCUUGUUGCCAACAGGUCAUGCUGGGCACUCUAGAGGAACUGCCCCGGUCAACGGGGAGGAAGGCGGGGAUGACGUCAAGUCAUCAUGCCCCUUACGUCCUGGGCUACACACGUGCUACAAUGGCCGGUACAAAGGGAUGCCUCACCGCGAGGUAGAGCUAAACCCAAAAAGCCGGUCUAAGUUCAGAUUGGAGUCUGCAACUCGACUCUAUGAAGGAGGAAUCGCUAGUAAUCGCGUAUCAGCACGACGCGGUGAAUACGUUCCCGGGCCUUGUACACACCGCCCGUCACACCACGAAAGCCAGCUGUACUCGAAGUCGCUGAG
rnacentral:rRNA from 1 species